UGGUAGCCACAGUAGCCGGAGGAGGUUAUUGAUCGGUCCAUGAAGCCGAGCUGGAGGCGGUGCAGGAAGGAAUCCCGUACGCCGGCAGCUUCUACGCGACCCAGCACUACGCACCAGCACUAACCCCAAACCAACAUACAGAAAAGAUACAGCGUAUUAUUCGUCGUAAUAAUGCCGACCAGCAGCAACAGCAUCAGCAUCAACAGUCGGUCAGUUAUCAGUCAGUAGUCAGCACCAAACCUCUGCGCUUCUUGGUGAAAUCGGAUACUGGCGAUGCUCAAGAUCAAGAUAUCCGACAUACUAGCGGAAAGGUGUGUCGUUACGGAACCUGAAUCUCUUUGCCUCUUAUAAUAAUCUGUAUGUAUAACGAUGCUACAGCAACCUUCGUCGCAGCGUGAGGCUGAUGAGUUAUCGGAAGGCUUUAAACCGUUGGCAAGGAAUGAAAUCUUUAGCGCAGGCGAUCUGGUCGCGAUGGAUGCCGAGUUUGUGACGCUGAAACCGGGGGAAAGUGAAAUCCGUUCCGAUGGAAAGAUGUUGACGGUGAAACCCCGGGCAUCACGUGCAUCCGGGGACAGGGCGAGCAUGAGAUUGUCCCGUUCAUAGAUGAUUACAUCUCGACGCAGGAACGCAGGUGGUCGACUAUCUGACCAAGUUUUCCGGUAUCAAUAUACAGUCGAAGACGCACGAUUCCGUCGAGGAAUGCUUCUACAAGCAUUACCUACGGCUACAGGAAAAGGAUGAGUUUUCCAGGGCGCUCUCGACGUUGUACGAGAAGGGCAAGCCUGUUGGAAAUUCCGUAGCUGCGUGAGCCCCAGUACCCGGAGCGGUGGGCCGCUCGCUUUGAUCGAUCGCUCGAUCAAAGGAGAUGCGGCAGGAGCGGGUGCUGGGGGAACGCGGGCAUCCGCACGAUCACCCGAUCACGCGGGCGAGGGUGAUGCCCGACCGUCGACCGGACCGGACCAACUACGGUUAACUUGCAGGGACUCAACUUUACCAGUCUUCACGGUGCGAUGGCGUCCAUUCCGGGACUGCAAAACGUUCAGGUUCAAAUUGCCGGACUUCCACAGCCGAUUUCUCAGACUCUUUCGUCUACGCCGUCAGGAACGACAACCGGUCGACUAGCCUACUUAACCAGACGACUAGCCUACUUGUGUCCGUUCCAGUGACCAACACCACACAGGCUGCUGUGAACACCAUCAACGCCGGUGCUAAUAAUACCAUACUGUCUGGUAACUCGCAAACGACACAAACGGUCGUUUUGACGAAUCCACAAACAAGUGGCUCCAGUCUACUCACUCUACCUACUGGUAGGUUUUUGGCCUUUGAAGGAAUGCGCUUGGCAAACUCUUUCGUAUAUUCCAUCUUCGCUUUGACGAACCGGUGGACCACUAACGGUGAAUGCUGGUCAACCGGGUCAACAGAUACAGCUACUGAACAUCAGUCAACGGCCUAGGGCGGGCACACCGAUUUCCGGUUCACAUCACGGCGGCCAAUGUUACUUCAAACACCACACCGAAUCAGCUCCUCAUGGCUACGAAGCAGCUACAAUUGAAGAUUCAACAACAGCAACACCAUCAUCAGUUGCAAUAACAGCAGCAAAUUAUAACCGGAAGCAGUAACCAAUCAACGGUUGGCGGAAAUAAUACCACGCAAAUCCACAUCCAGCCGCGGCCACAUCCACGUCCUCUCUGCAUAUUCAUCUGUACAUUUCUCACCAUAUACAUGGUCAUCUAUGGCGGCUACAUUAGCACGAAGAGCAAGGCGUCGCCGCUGCUCUCGCUCACGACGGGCGCGCCGUCCUGCUCGGCGCGUCCGGCGCCGGUUUCUUCCUCGGGAUCCUGAUGCUUCCUGAUGCGGGACUUGUUGGGGCGCUUGCGCUGAAUUUUGAGGCGGAAUUUCAGCCUUCAUUUCGGGACAACUCGGGGUCCACCUCAAGAAGCAUGUCUUCCUCCAGAAGUCCUUCUUGGUCCUGAUCGGACUUUAAAUCGCCCUGCGUGGGGGAAAAAAGUGUAAAACAAGUUUUCUUCAAAAACUGUUUUCACAAGCUUACCAUUUGUUCGCACAAUUGUUCAAUGUCCAAUUCUUCCAUUUUUACUUUUGUCGAUAAGCCCAUCAUCGAGGAAGUAGUUCUAGCAUGAAAAUUUAAAAGUAAUACGCUCUAAUUUAAGGUGAGACGGAAGGAAGGGCGUGUUUCGCUGUGGAAAUUUUCGCUCUGUUCCAUUUUUAACAAUAUUUUAUUCUGUACCAGCAGUGACGUUCAGCAACUUAAACGCGGCCGCGGCCACGUCCGUGGAACUCACCCAUCCCGUAGCGCUGCGCUUCCCCGAUCAUGACCAUUAGAUGGUCAUGAGACCGCGCCAUAUCCAGUGUCGUUAAGUGGGCGCGCAGAGCAAGGCGACGCCUCGCCUCGCGCUCACGGCGGGAAAAUUUUCGCUCUUUUCCAUUUUUAUUGUGGAAAUUUUCGCUCUUUUCCAUUUUUAACAAUAUUUUAUUCUGUACCAGCAGUGACGUUCAGCAACUUAAACGCGGCCGCGGCCACGUCCGCGGAACC